rnacentral:rRNA from 1 species
UGGUCAAGCUAAUAAGGGCACACGGAGGAUGCCUAGGCGCUAGGAGCCGAAGAAGGACGUGGCGAACGACGAAAUGCCUCGGGGAGCCGUAAGCAGGCUUUGAUCCGGGGAUGUCCGAAUGGGGGAACCCAGCUGUGGUAAUGCGCAGUUACCAUGCAGUGAAUACAUAGCUGCAUUGGAGGCACACCCAGGGAACUGAAACAUCUAAGUACCUGGAGGAAAAGAAAACAAUAGUGAUUCCGUCAGUAGCGGCGAGCGAACGCGGAUUAGCCCAAACCAGAGGGCUUGCUCUCUGGGGUUGUGGGGCGUCGAUAUGGCAAAAGUUCAUUAGGUGAAGUGAUCUGGAAAGGUCCGCUGGAAGAGGUAACAGCCCUGUAGCCGAAAGUGAACGUAUGCCUAGACCCACCCCGAGUACGGCGGGACACGUGAAACCCCGUCGGAAUCCGGCAGGACCAUCUGCCAAGGCUAAAUACUCCCUAGCGACCGAUAGUGAAGCAGUACCGUGAGGGAAAGGUGAAAAGCACCCCGGGAGGGGAGUGAAAUAGAACCUGAAACCGUGUGCCUACAAGAAGUCAGAGCCCGUUAAUGGGUGAUGGCGUGCCUUUUGUAGAAUGAACCGGCGAGUUACGUUCACGUGCGAGGUUAAGUUGAAAAGACGGAGCCGCAGCGAAAGCGAGUCUGAAUAGGGCGACUAUAGUACGUGGGCGUAGACCCGAAACCGUGUGAUCUACCCCUGUCCAGGGUGAAGGUGCGGUAACACGCACUGGAGGCCCGAACCCACGCAUGUUGAAAAAUGCGGGGAUGAGGUGGGGGUAGCGGAGAAAUUCCAAUCGAACUCGGAGAUAGCUGGUUCUCCCCGAAAUAGCUUUAGGGCUAGCCUCGGGGGAUGUGUCGUGGAGGUAAAGCACUGAUUGGGUGCGGGGCCCGCCAAGGGUUACCAAGUCCAGUCAAACUCUGAAUGCCACAGACAUUACCCCGGGAGUCAGACAGUGAGUGCUAAGAUCCAUUGUCAAGAGGGAAACAGCCCAGAUCAUCAGCUAAGGUCCCCAAGUGUGUGUUAAGUGGGAAAGGAUGUGGAGUUGCACAGACAACCAGGAUGUUGGCUUAGAAGCAGCCACCAUUUAAAGAGUGCGUAAUAGCUCACUGGUCGAGUGACUCUGCGCCGAAAAUGUAACGGGGCUAAACACACCACCGAAGCUAUGACUUGCAUCUAUGAUGCAUGGGUAGGGGAGCGUUCUGUACGGAUUGAAGGUAGAUCGUGAGGACUGCUGGACUGUACAGAAGUGAGAAUGCCGGUAUGAGUAACGAAAAGAUCAGUGAGAAUCUGAUCCGCCGAAAGCCUAAGGGUUCCUGAGGAAGGUUCGUCCGCUCAGGGUAAGUCGGGACCUAAGGCGAGGCCGAAAGGCGUAGUCGAAGGACAACAGGUUGAAAUUCCUGUACCACCGUAAGCCGUUAUGAGCAAUGGAGUGACGCAGCAGGGUAGGGACGCGGACUGAUGGAUGUCCGUCCAAGCAGUGAGGCUGAUGUGUAGGCAAAUCCGCACAUCNUCCGCCGAAAGCCUAAGGGUUCCUGAGGAAGGUUCGUCCGCUCAGGGUAAGUCGGGACCUAAGGCGAGGCCGAAAGGCGUAGUCGAAGGACAACAGGUUGAAAUUCCUGUACCACCGUAAGCCGUUACGAGCAAUGGAGUGACGCAGCAGGGUAGGGACGCGGACUGAUGGAUGUCCGUCCAAGCAGUGAGGCUGAUGUGUAGGCAAAUCCGCACAUCGUAAGGCUGGGCUGUGAUGGGGAGCGAAAAUUACAGUAGCGAAGGUCUUGAUCUCACACUGCCAAGAAAAGCUUCUAGCCAGGCGAAGGUGCCCGUACCGCAAACCGACACAGGUGGGCGAGAAGAGANAUGGAGUGACGCAGCAGGGUAGGGACGCGGACUGAUGGAUGUCCGUCCAAGCAGUGAGGCUGAUGUGUAGGCAAAUCCGCACAUCAUAAGGCUGGGCUGUGAUGGGGAGCGAAAAUUACAGUAGCGAAGGUCUUGAUCUCACACUGCCAAGAAAAGCUUCUAGCCAGGCGAAGGUGCCCGUACCGCAAACCGACACAGGUGGGCGAGAAGAGAAUUCUAAGGCGCGCGGAAGAACUCUCGUUAAGGAACUCGGCAAAAUGACCCCGUAACUUCGGGAGAAGGGGUGCCCCGGUAGUGUGAAUAGCACGAGGGGGCCGCAGUGAAAAGGCCCAAGCGACUGUUUAGCAAAAACACAGGUCUAUGCGAAGCCGUAAGGCGAAGUAUAUGGGCUGACGCCUGCCCGGUGCUGGAAGGUUAAGGGGAGCGGUUAGGAGCAAUCCGAAGCUGUGAACCGAAGCCCCAGUAAACGGCGGCCGUAACUAUAACGGUCCUAAGGUAGCGAAAUUCCUUGUCAGGUAAAUUCUGACCCGCACGAAUGGCGUAACGACUUGGGCGCUGUCUCAACNACGAGGGGGCCGCAGUGAAAAGGCCCAAGCGACUGUUUAGCAAAAACACAGGUCUAUGCGAAGCCGUAAGGCGAAGUAUAUGGGCUGACGCCUGCCCGGUGCUGGAAGGUUAAGGGGAGCGGUUAGGGGUAACCCGAAGCUGUGAACCGAAGCCCCAGUAAACGGCGGCCGUAACUAUAACGGUCCUAAGGUAGCGAAAUUCCUUGUCAGGUAAAUUCUGACCCGCACGAAUGGCGUAACGACUUGGGCGCUGUCUCAACGAGAGAUCCGGUGAAAUUUUAAUACCUGUGAAGAUGCAGGUUACCCGCGACAAGACGGAAAGACCCCAUGGAGCUUUACUGCAGCUUGAUAUUGGACUUUGGUACGAUCUGUACAGGAUAGGUGGGAGCCUUUGAAGCCUGAGCGCCAGCUUGGGUGGAGGUGCCGUUGGGAUACCACCCUGAUCGUAUCGGAGUUCUAACCUGCUACCGUCUAACCGGUAGAGGGACCGUGUCAGGUGGGCAGUUUGACUGGGGCGGUCGCCUCCUAAAGAGUAACGGAGGCGCCCAAAGGUUCCCUCAGAAUGGUUGGAAAUCAUUCGAAGAGUGCAAAGGCAUAAGGGAGCUUGACUGCGAGACAUACAGGUCGAGCAGGGACGAAAGUCGGGCUUAGUGAUCCGGUGGUACCGCAUGGAAGGGCCAUCGCUCAACGGAUAAAAGCUACCCUGGGGAUAACAGGCUUAUCUCCCCCAAGAGUCCACAUCGACGGGGAGGUUUGGCACCUCGAUGUCGGCUCAUCGCAUCCUGGGGCUGAAGUAGGUCCCAAGGGUUGGGCUGUUCGCCCAUUAAAGCGGUACGCGAGCUGGGUUCAGAACGUCGUGAGACAGUUCGGUCCCUAUCUGUCGCGGGCGCAGGAAAUUUGAGAGGAGCUGUCCUUAGUACGAGAGGACCGGGAUGGACGUACCGCUGGUGUACCAGUUGUCUCGCCAGAGGCAUAGCUGGGUAGCUAUGUACGGAAGGGAUAAGCGCUGAAAGCAUCUAAGCGUGAAGCCCCCCUCAAGAUGAGAUUUCCCAGUAUGUAAGACCCCUUGAAGACGACGAGGUAGAUAGGUUGGAGGUGGAAGCACAGCAAUGUGUGGAGCUGACCAAUACUAAUCGGUCGAGGGCUUGACCUA